rnacentral:rRNA from 1 species
ACGAACGCUGGCGGCGUGCUUAACACAUGCAAGUCGAACGGAAAGGCCCCUUUGGGGGUACUCGAGUGGCGACCGGGUGAGUAACACGUGAGUAACCUGCCCUUUACUUCGGGAUAACUUCAGGAAACUGGGGCUAAUACCGGAUAGGAAUCCUUGCUGCAUGGUGGGGGUUGGAAAGCUUCGGCGGUUUUGGAUGGACUCGCGGCUUAUCAGCUUGUUGGUGGGGUAGUGGCUUACCAAGGCUUUGACGGGUAGCCGGCCUGAGAGGGCGACCGGCCACAUUGGGACUGAGAUACGGCCCAGACUCCUACGGGAGGCAGCGGUGGGGAAGAUUGCACAAUGGGCGGAAGCCUGAUGCAGCAACGCCGCGGGCGGGAUGACGGCCUUCGGGUUGGAAACCGCUUUCAGCAGGGGCGAAGCUUGUGGUGACGGUACCUGCAGAAGAAGCACCGGCUAACUACGUG